rnacentral:rRNA from 1 species
AUUGAACGCUGGCGGCAUGCUUUACACAUGCAAGUCGAACGGUAACAGGCCGCAAGGUGCUGACGAGUGGCGAACGGGCGAGUAAUGCAUCGGAACGUGCGCAGUCGGGGGGGAUAAAGCAGCGAAAGCUGCGCUAAUACCGCAUACGAACUAUGGAUGAAAGCGGGGGACCGUAAGGCCUCGCGCGAUUGGGUCGGCCGCUGUGAGAUUAGGAAGUUGGUGGGGUAAAGGCGCACCAAGCCAACGAUCUGUAGCCGGUCUGAGAGGACGACCAGACACACUGGGACUGAGACACGGCACAGACUCCUACGGGAGGCAGCAGUGGGGAAUUUUGGACAAUGGGCGCAAGCCUGAUCCAGAAAUGCCGCGUGCAGGAAGAAGGCUUUCGGGUUGUAAACUGCUUUUGUACGGAACGAAACGGUCCGGGUUAAUACCCUGGCUAAUGACGGUACCGUAAGAAUAAGCACCGGCUAACUACGUGCCAGCAGCCGCCGUAACAC